ACGAGCAACACCUCUGGAAUGAGCUCUAAAUUCUCAGUGAUUUUUAAAAAUUAAAAAUUUUUCGGCUAGUUUUAAGCAUAAAGUGAUUUUUUUGUAUUUUAUUUUUAAGUGAACACCACUAUACAUACAUAAAACGCUUGGUUGGUCAUAAAUCUACGUAGAGACAAUGAGAAGUACUAAAGAUCACACAUAUUUGGCAAGAGACAGGAAGUUAGGAUGAUUAACACUCUGGAACGGUUUUCUUCCCCGAUGCAGGAUUCAACUAUACAAGACACAAAUGACAGCACUCUGGAAAUCUCUGGAGAACUCUGGAAACCCCUGGGGAAAAAUGCGAUAGAACUUUGCGGUGGAUAUCGCAGAAAAGAGCGAUUCAAUCUACCACAAGGAAAUAUCUGGAUUCA